AGUAUUAUACUGCAGGUACAAUAUUGCCAGGUGCAUCAAUUAUUGUUAUUACACAKUUAUAURUAAGUUUUAUAAACUAAAUGUUCUUUUUGCAGUAAUUAAAUUUAAUUAUCAAGUGAUUUUGGAAUUAGUAAUUGUAUUAGUAUUGGCUAAUUUCGUGCCAGCAGUCGCGGUUAUACGAUUAAAUACAAGUGAUUAUUAUUGGUUUAUUCAGUUAUUAUUUUUUUUAGGAUUGUAUUUAAAAAUUUACAAGGUGAAAUUUAAAAUUUUUUUAGUUCCUUUUUAUGAUUCUGUGAAAUUUAAAUAAUAAACUAGGAUUAGAUACCCUAUUAUAUUAAAUGUAAAUUUUAUAUUACCCGGGUAUUAUUAGUUAGGUUCUUGAAACCCAAAGAAUUUGGCGGUAUCUUAUUCCAUUCAGAGGAACCUACUCCGUGAUUGAUAAUACACGAUUAACUAUACUUAAUUUAUUUGUUUGUAUAUCUCUGUUAUCAGAAUAUCUUUUUAGAGUUAUAAUUUUCUUAAUUUAUAAUUAUAAAUUAUUUCAAGUCAAGGUGCAGCUUAUAAUUAAGAGGAAGUGGGUUACAAUAAAUUUUUAUUUACAUGGAUUUGAUUUUUAAUUAUUUUAAUGAAGGUGGAUUUGAUAGUAAUUUGAUUUAUUUAAUUUAAAUGAUAUUGGCUAUGAGAUGUGUACACAUCGCCCGUCACUCUCAUUUUUGAAUAUAUAAAAUUGUUUUUAUUUUUGUUUCAGUUUAAAAUGAGAUAAGUCGUAACAUAGUAGAUGUACUGGAAAGUGUAUCUAGUAAUAAUUAUCAAGAUAAAGCUUUUUAGUAAAGUUUUUCAUUUGCCCU
rnacentral:ncRNA from 1 species